rnacentral:rRNA from 1 species
UACAGAGACUGCGAGCGUUAUUCGGAUUCACUGGGCGUAAAGGGUGCGUAGGUGGUGAGGUAAGUCGGAUGUGAAAGCUCGGAGCUCAACUCCGAAAUGGCAUUGGAAACUACCUUGCUCGAGGGUUGGAGGGGGGACUGGAAUACUUGGUGUAGCAGUGAAAUGCGUAGAUAUCAAGUGGAACACCAGUGGCGAAGGCGAGUCCCUGGACAACUCCUGACACUGAGGCACGAAAGCUAGGGGAGCAAACAGG